rnacentral:misc_RNA from 1 species
UGGAGCAGAUGCGGGAUGAG